rnacentral:rRNA from 1 species
UACGUAGGGUGCAAGCGUUGUCCGGAAUUAUUGGGCGUAAAGAGCUUGUAGGCGGUUUGUCGCGUCUGCUGUGAAAUUUCGGGGCUCAACCCCGAACUUGCAGUGGGUACGGGCAGACUAGAGUGUGGUAGGGGAGACUGGAAUUCCUGGUGUAGCGGUGAAAUGCGCAGAUAUCAGGAGGAACACCGAUGGCGAAGGCAGGUCUCUGGGCCGAUACUGACGCUGAGACGCGAAAGCGUGGGGAGCGAACAGG